UACGGGGGGGGCAAGCGUUGUUCGGAAUUACUGGGCGUAAAGGGCUCGUAGGCGGCCGACUAAGUCUGACGUGAAAUCCCCCGGCUCAACUGGGGAACUGCGUCCGAUACUGGUCGGCUUGAGAUCGGGAGAGGGACGCGGAAUUCCAGGUGUAGCGGUGAAAUGCGUAGAUAUCUGGAGGAACACCGGUGGCGAAGGCGGCGUCCUGGACCGACACUGACGCUGAGGAGCGAAAGCCAGGGGAGCAAACGGG
rnacentral:rRNA from 1 species